GAUGAACGCUGGCGGCGUGCCUAAUACAUGCAAGUCGAGCGAACAGACGAGGAGCUUGCUCCUUUGACGUUAGCGGCGGACGGGUGAGUAACACGUAGGUAACCUACCUAUAAGACUGGGAUAACUUCGGGAAACCGGAGCUAAUACCGGAUAAUAUUUCGAACCGCAUGGUUCGAUAGUGAAAGAUGGCUUUGCUAUCACUUAUAGAUGGACCUGCGCCGUAUUAGCUAGUUGGUAAGGUAACGGCUUACCAAGGCAACGAUACGUAGCCGACCUGAGAGGGUGAUCGGCCACACUGGAACUGAGACACGGUCCAGACUCCUACGGGAGGCAGCAGUAGGGAAUCUUCCGCAAUGGGCGAAAGCCUGACGGAGAAACGCCGCGUGAGUGAUGAAGGUCUUCGGAUCGUAAAACUCUGUUAUUAGGGAAGAACAAACGUGUAAGUAACUGUGCACGUCUUGACGGUACCUAAUCAGAAAGCCACGGCUAACUACGUG
rnacentral:rRNA from 1 species